AUACCGGAUAUGACCUGCUCUCGCAUGGGGGUGGGUGGAAAGAUUUAUCGGUGCAGGAUGGGCCCGCGGCCUAUCAGCUUGUUGGUGGGGUAAUGGCCUACCAAGGCGACGACGGGUAGCCGACCUGAGAGGGUGACCGGCCACACUGGGACUGAGACACGGCCCAGACUCCUACGGGAGGCAGCAGUGGGGAAUAUUGCACAAUGGGCGAAAGCCUGAUGCAGCGACGCCGCGUGAGGGAUGAAGGCCUUCGGGUUGUAAACCUCUUUCAGCAGGGACGAAGCGUGAGUGACGGUACCUGCAGAAGAAGCACCGGCUAACUACGUGCCAGCAGCCGCGGUAAUACGUAGGGUGCGAGCGUUGUCCGGAAUUACUGGGCGUAAAGAGUUCGUAGGCGGUUUGUCGCGUCGUUUGUGAAAACCCGGGGCUCAACUUCGGGCUUGCAGGCGAUACGGGCAGACUUGAGUGUUUCAGGGGAGACUGGAAUUCCUGGUGUAGCGGUGAAAUGCGCAGAUAUCAGGAGGAA
rnacentral:rRNA from 1 species